AUUGAACGCUGGCGGCAGGCCUAACACAUGCAAGUCGAGCGGAUGAAGGGAGCUUGCUCCUGGAUUCAGCGGCGGACGGGUGAGUAAUGCCUAGGAAUCUGCCUGGUAGUGGGGGCUAACGUCCGGAAACGGGCGCUAAUACCGCAUACGUCCUGAGGGAGAAAGUGGGGGAUCUUCGGAACUCACGCUAUCAGAUGAGCCUAGGUCGGAUUAGCUAGUUGGUGGGGUAAAGGCCUACCAAGGCGACGAUCCGUAACUGGUCUGAGAGGAUGAUCAGCCACACUGGAACUGAGACACGGUCCAGACUCCUACGGGAGGCAGCAGUGGGGAAUAUUGGACAAUGGGCGAAAGCCUGAUCCAGCCAUGCCGCGUGUGUGAAGAAGGUCUUCGGAUUGUAAAGCACUUUAAGUUGGGAGGAAGGGCAGUAAGUUAAUACCUUGCUGUUUUGACGUUACCAACAGAAUAAGCACCGGCUAACUUCGUG
rnacentral:rRNA from 1 species